AGCAUGUGGUUUAAUUCGAUGAUACGCGAAGAACUUUACCGGGGUUUGACAUGCAGGUGAUCGCCGUUGAAAGACGGUUUCCUCUUCGGAGGCACCUGCACAGGUGCUGCAUGGCUGUCGUCAGCUCGUGUCGUGAGAUGUUCGGUUAAGUCCGCUAACGAGCGCAACCCUCGUCGUGUGUUAUACGUGUCACACGAUACUGCCGGUAUCAAGCCGGAGGAAGGUGGGGAUGAUGUCAAGUCAGCAUGGCCUUUAUAUCCUGGGCUACACACACGCUACAAUGGCAGAUACAAUAGGUUGCGAAACCGCGAGGUGGAGCCAAUCCUCAAAGUCUGUCUCAGUUCAGAUUGUAGGCUGCAACUCGCCUGCAUGAAGUUGGAGUUGCUAGUAAACGCAGGUCAGCUAUACUGCGUUGAAUACGUUCCCGGGGUUU
rnacentral:rRNA from 1 species